GUCCGGAUGACGAGGCCCAAAUAGGACGAAAUGCGCUUCCUGGAU
rnacentral:hammerhead_ribozyme from 1 species